rnacentral:rRNA from 1 species
GAUGAACGCUGGCGGCGUGCCUAAUACAUGCAAGUCGAGCGAACAGAUAAGGAGCUUGCUCCUUUGACGUUAGCGGCGGACGGGUGAGUAACACGUGGGUAACCUACCUAUAAGACUGGGAUAACUUCGGGAAACCGGAGCUAAUACCGGAUAACAUUUGGAACCGCAUGGUUCUAAAGUGAAAGAUGGUUUUGCUAUCACUUAUAGAUGGACCCGCGCCGUAUUAGCUAGUUGGUAAGGUAACGGCUGACCAAGGCGACGAUACGUAGCCGACCUGAGAGGGUGAUAGGCCACACUGGAACUGAGACACGGUCCAGACUCCUACGGGAGGCAGCAGUAGGGAAUCUUCCGCAAUGGGCGAAAGCCUGACGGAGCAACGCCGCGUGAGUGAUGAAGGGUUUCGGCUCGUAAAACUCUGUUAUUAGGGAAGAACAAACGUGUAAGUAACUGUGCACGUCUUGACGGUACCUAAUCAGAAAGCCACGGCUAACUACGUGCCAGCCGCCGCCGUAA